UGGUUCUCGCAUCGAUGAAGAACGCAGCGAAACGCGAUAGGUAAUGUGAAUUGCAGAAUUCAGUGAAUCAUCGAAUCUUUGAACGCACAUUGCGCUCCCUGGUAUUCCUAGGAGCAUGUCUGUCUGAGCGUCAGUACACACCCUCUGAUCUUCAUUUUUUUGUCGAUCGGGUCCUGAGCGGGGAGAGCGCGAAAGCGAGACCCCCCCUCUAAAGUGGAAAGCCAGCGGCCCGCCUGCCCAUGAAAGACGUAGUAAGCUUAAUUGACCUCGUCCACGAAAGGGUUCCAAGGUGUUUUGGCUUGCCUUGACAAAAACUCAAUCUAAGGUUUGACCUCAGAUCAGACAAGAUUACCCGCUGA
rnacentral:misc_RNA from 1 species